rnacentral:lncRNA from 1 species
UUAUGUUUCUCCCCACACCGUCCCUGUUUUGCUGCCAAUGAACAGUAGGACCCACACAAGAUGGAAAGAAAUCUGACCGAAAACAUGUAAUUCCGAUGGUCUUCAUUGAAUCCGGCGAAGUAGAGGUCGAACCCAACAGUAAUUACAUCUCCAAGCUCUCUGAAACUCCACAAAACCAGUGUGCAAGUCAGCUCAAAAUCUCCACCCUAUUUCAGUCGAGUUGGGUCGUCUCAGUUCCCUUUGAGGUCGCCGACAAGGUCGUAGUUUGUUAGCUCCAGUCGAGUCCACCUGAAGCUUGUGUUGUCGUGUAUAUUGGAGGAUUUGUGUUCAUAUAUAAAAUAUUGGGCUUGAAGACUUGUGAUUUUGUUGUUGACAAGAUUUGAAUUCACUAAAGGUUCAUUCUACCUUUUCUUUACUAUUUCAGUCGUAAUAUCACUCUUCAUUGGAUUUCUUUGAUUUUGCCGCUGUCUGAUCAAUUGUUUGACUCAGUGUGUCAUUGUUAGUUGUUCUGUUUUGGUGGAAAGUUAAUAUUCUGGGUUUUUCAAUUUUUUGUGAUUGCUUGGAUUAUAGUAUGGGUGUGGAAAUUUCACUAUUAUUGCCUUUCUAUACCUAUAUGUUCUUCAAUGAUAACAUGAACUAUUCCACUAUUUUCUUUAAAUUUUCCUAAUUAAGAUGUUGAUUGGUUCGUUAGCCUUGAAUCCUUAAGCGUGGGCGUGUUCUGAUGCAGAAUGCUUGGAAAGCUAGAAGCAAAUUUACGGUUUGGGCCUUUCUAGAUGAUUAUAGGUUUAAUGUUGAAAAAGGGCUACAGGGCCAAACAUGUUAAUGCCAGGCCCAUUCCCUAAUGACACUUUAUUGAGCCAUUGUAGAGUUAGCUUGAUUUCAUGGAAUCAAUAAACCAUCUCACCUUUCCAUAAUUAAUUACUACACUUUCCCAUAAAUAAUUUCAUAAUUCACGGAUCGUUACGAUAAUCUCAAAGUUUAGGAAAAAUUACGAAUAUGUUGUAAUAUAUCAUUGUGAUUGUGGACACGUUCGCAUUAUGUAAUUGUGAUUCUAAUAAAACAAAAUCGAAGUAUGCGUUCGCGCAACUUUGGCCAAACCUUUUUUUAUGAUAAAGUGUUAUUAAUUGUGGACAGGUUGGCAUGACAUAUUUUUGACGCACCAAACGAAUGGGUAUACGUACACGUAAUCCAUUACAAGAUACUUUUCUUAAUUAAAAGCGAUGAAAAAGGCAAGAUCACAUAUGUUCUGAAAUGGGUAAGUAAAAAAAUUUAAUAAGCUAAGUAUGAUUAGAGUGACCGUGCUAGAACCACAGAAUUUGGGAGUGCAAAAAACCUUCUCCCGGAUUAAUAGAAUUCCUUACCAAGAUUUUUGUGUUCGCAGAUAAAACCAGAGUCAAUCUUUUCCUCGAUUCAGCAUUUAAAACUGGUGACUUGGGACACUUUAAAUUAUCUCAAGUGGCGGCUCUGAAUUUAAUAAAUAAAUAAUCUUGUUUCGAUUGUCACUUUAAGUUGGAAAAAAACUCCCUUUAUACACCUUUCAAGGGGUGUAGUGAAAAAGCAACGUGUGACAGCUUUAGCGAAUCUGCUGGGGAUCGAAUCCAGAAUCUCUGGUCCAGGGUUAAGAAAUUUAGCUUGUUAUAUAAUUUUUACUUGGCUUUAUUUAUUGCUAAUAUCACUAUAUUCUGUGAACCAUUUUAUGCUAAAUGCUAUCUGUUUACCGCUUUAAUAUUGUUUUAAUUAUAUAUAACUAUCUUCCUACGUCCCCUCUUUGAGUCUUCUGGAAAUGGUGCAUACGUUCGCGUAACCCGCUUUUUUAUAGAAAUUAUACCAAAUAGAACGAGGCUGGGCAAGCGGCAAGGCCGAGUAGACUUCAAUGCUCCUGGUACGCCCCCUCUACGGCCCCAGUUGUCCGCUCGGGUACCCCAAGUCUAGACCAAAACCCCAAGAUUUAAACCUACAAGAAUACAGCCUCAUUCCAGAUCCCUAGUAGGAGCGCUUGUUUUGAUCAUAUGAAUUUGACUUAGGGGACUCAAUACAAGGGUUGGGUCUAUUUAGGACAGGUGUACCCGAAAUAACAGACCAUCCUAACGCAUCCUAUGUGCUACAUAUUGCAUUUCUUAAGGUUAAAAGGAUCAUUUGACGGACCAAUAAAAGUUAAAAGCAUAUGAAAAGAAAGAAGAAAAAAGGAAAAGAAAAGAAGCGGGUGAAGGGUGAAAAUAAAAAGCAAGUAGGGCCUAGUUAUGUUUUGUUACAUUUUUAUUGAGGAAAAAAAAGCAUCAAAAAUUCAAAACGAUUUUGCAUUUUUUUAACAUUUUUAAAAAAUCAAAAAUCAAAAAAAGGGGGAAAAGAAAAUCCAAAAAGAAUUUAAAAGUUUCUUCAUUUUUUUAAAAAAAAAAAAAGAUAAAAGAAAAUAUUUUCUCUAAUAUUAGCUGUUUUUUUAAAUUCUUUCCCUUAUCCAAUUUGCCCAAACUACUCGUACCUGAUUCUCGUCUUUCUGGGCGUGAUGUGUAGGCAACCCACAUAGGGUCUAGUAUUCCUAGUAAACCUUAGCUUUUUGGCUUUGGAAGGUCUUAGCCAAAUUUUGGACUUCUAGCCACCUUUUGGCUAAAAGUCAUUUUGCAAAAAUAAUUGCAACCAUGUCUUGCAUGUUUAUAAUAGAGAAUAUUAUUGUCUCACAUAGUGUUGGUUUAAGUUUUCUCAUAAAGGUGUGAAUUUACCUACUGGAGUUUGAGCAUGAUAGAUACCCCAGAAUCACUCAUUCAGGAGCUGCCCGAGGAGCCAUUU